UGAAAACUAAGGUCAUCAUCUUCCUGUUGACGGAAUACUUAAAUGCACUUACAAAUUAUUGUCGUGAAUGAAACUAGUGACAAUAUUUCCCGCAAAAUUAGCUGUUAAAGACCAAUGGAGAGUGGAGAAAGAUGCAAAGCGCAUAAUUAAACUCAUAAGUCGAAAACUAACUGACAAGCAAUGGUACCCCCCCCCAAAAAAAAACAAAAAAACAAACCCCAAAACAAAACCACACGAAAAAGCAACAGUAUACAAAUCACAACAUAUGAAAACUAGAAUGAGCAACAAAAACACCCAAACGACCGGGGGCACAUACAGAUUGUGGUGGGGUGAAGCCAAUUUUUCAGUGCUCAACAAUUCUGUAACAUGGUACAAUGAUAAAAAA
rnacentral:lncRNA from 1 species